rnacentral:misc_RNA from 1 species
UCUCCGUUGGUGAACCAGCGGAGGGAUCAUUACUGAGUUACCGCUCUAUAACCCUUUGUGAACAUACCUUAACUGUUGCUUCGGCGGGUAGGAGUCCCCUAAAAAGGACGCCUCCCGGCCCUCCCGUCCGCGGGUGGGGCGCCCGCCGGAGGAUAACCAAACUCUGAUUUAACGACGUUUCUUCUGAGUGACACAAGUAAUAAUCAAAACUUUUAACAACGGAUCUCUUGGUUCUGGCAUCGAUGAAGAACGCAGC